ensembl:lncRNA
UUCUGACCGAAGAAGAAGUCAGACAGACUUAGAUGUCAGCGAAUUUCAUCACAAUGAAGGCGAUUUAAACUAAUAGAACUGCACAAGGUCAGGUUGCAGCAACUCCACUGUCUGCACGACCCGUCAUAGAUGAAUCCUCUCACCGUCCUUCUCAUUUUGUCUCUUAAUUCGGCAUCUACAGGGUUGUGUGUAGCUUGUCUGUCAUAAUGAUAUGAUUGGAAAAAAAGGCUUAAAAGAGAUAGAUGUGCAGGCAGACAGGAACGCCCAGCUGGAGUGUCAGGGUCCUAAAAAAGCCAAACUUGUCCUGUUAGAGUGGAAAAGACUUGAUCUGUUGUCGGAUGGAUACGUCUUCUUCUACCGAGAUGGUCAUCUUCAUAAAACCUUCCAGCAUCCAACUUUUAGAGAUCGAGUGGAACUGAGAGAUCCGCAGAUGAAAAAUGGGAACAUGUCCAUCAUUUUGUCCAACACCACAAUUAAAGACACUGGAACGUAUGAGUGUCGUAUCAUCGCACAAAACACAAGAGACAGUAGCAGCUCUGCCUUUGAGAUCAAGCAUGAAAUCAAGCUGACAGUUGUUCCUCCAGGUCGGGCACAAGAGGUCACCGUACUUAGAGAUGAGGAGAAUGGAGGUAUGGACGUUGGGAACAAGGAUGAAAGAGAUGGAGGAUUUAUUGGACUAACAGGUGGUCUGUUAGCUUUGGUGGUGAUUCUUGUUGUUUUGUUUUCUUACAAUGUGUU